GCACCUAAAAAACUAAACACUAAACCCUAAACCCUAAACCCUCACAGCCUACUUGAGUUUUUGUACAUUUUAUGAAAAUAUAGAAUGAGAUCUUGUGAAAAAGAAGUGUCCUUUGCCAGCCUCAUUCUCCCAUUACAGCACUUAGGACAGUCAUGAUUAGUAAAGUCUCCUAGCACCCCUUUCCUUCACAGCCAUUUGCAUAUCUCUUCUUUUGGCUUGCUGCAUAUAGCAUAAAUGUAAUCUAGUACAGUUCCAGUGGUUAGAAUGGAAAUGGUCGCCAUUUUGCCUUUGGAUCACGUGAUGAUGAUUGGCAUCUGAUGCUUGUGAUGCAAGCACAGUAAAAUGGCGAAUUUGCUUGGGGCCGGUAAAGUGUAAUCCACCCCCUGUUACAGCUAAGAGAAGGAACAACAUAUAACAGAAACAACAGGACAG